AGAGCCAGGGAAUUCGCCACAGGUUUCCCCAAUUACGGCGAUCCCAUAUAAACAAGAAUUAAAUUACUGUACAAAACAAACACAACAACACAAAUUUUCAAGCAACUUAACAAGCUAAAACUAAUAAGGCUAAUAACGGAAAUCUAUACUGUCCAUGUUCAAUAAUAUAGGACUAACAACAACUUAUUACAUUGUUAAGCGAUCUUGCUCUUUUGCACUUUACACACACUGAUUUCCAGGUGCGCGGAUCGACACAUUUGAAAGUUUUGGAUAGUGCAUGUUUGUAGUAGAGUUUAA